rnacentral:lncRNA from 1 species
CUGGAGUGAGUGCCUUAAUUUCUUUUCCUAAUCUAUAAAGGGAGAUGAACCUGGACGAUCUCUAAAGUUUCUGUGGCCUCUGGGAGUCUAGAAUAAUGAACACUUUAGGCCUCAGAAAUCAGAAAUUCACCUUUGAAAUUCUAUGAUCAAGACCAAGCAACACAGCUGCCUACUUCCAGUUGGCCUCACCUUUACUACCAUCACUAGGUGUCGCUGUUAUUUCACGGAAUUGAUUUGGAUCCUGAGUAUCUCUAGAGAAAAAUUCCUUUAUGCCAAUGGAUCCCACAAGCCCCCAAUCUUACCAGGCCCCCCGCUGGGGACAAGUUAUUAUGACCCUCCUCAAAGUGCAACAGGGUUUAGAGAUCAUGCAAUUCUAUGAACUUUUACUUGUGGGCUCCAAGCACAGUUUGGAGAAGCCCAGGAAUCUAUGGAGUCUUAAUUCUAGCCCAUGCUUCCAUACCAGCUUUAUGAACUUCAUAGAAAAGCCAGCUCCCCCCCUCUCUCCCUCUCUCUCUCUCUCUCUCUCUCUCUCUCUCUCUCUCUCUCUCUCUCUCUCUCUCUCUCUCUCUCUCUCUCUCUCUCUCUCUCUCUCUCUCUCUCUCUCUCUCUCUCUCUUCUCUCUCUCUCUCCUCUCUCUUCUCUCUCUCUCUCCUCUCUCUCUCUCUCCUCUCUCCUCUUCUCUCGCUCCCUCUCUCUCUCUGUCUCUCUUCCAUUCUCUGUCUCUCCCCUUCUGUCUCUCUCCCUCUCCCUCUCUUUCUGCCUCUGUCUCUUAUUCUCUGUCUCUGUCACCCUCUUUCUCUCUCUUCCUCUCCCAUUCUUUCUCUGUCUUUCCCCUCCCAAAGGCUACCAUCUCACAUGUACAUGUUAGGUCUUCUGUGUGUCCUGAAGGGUGCAUGAAUCUUCUGAGGAAAUGGUAGUUGUGACAGGUGAGUCCUGAAGCUGGCAAGAAUGAUUCCCCUGGAAAUUUUCAGUCAAAGAAAUCAAAGCUAUUAACAAGCACAUGAGAAAGUGUUCUAAAUCUCUUAUAAUCAGAGAGAUGCAAAUCGAAAUAACUCCAAGGUAUCACCUCACACCUAGCAGAUUGGCUAACAUGACAGCAAAAGAAAGUAAUGAAUGCUGGAGGGGAUGUGGCAAAGUAGGGACAUUAAUUCAUUGCUGGUGGAGUUGUGAAUUGAUCCAACCAUUCUGGAGGGCAAUUUGGAACUAUGCCCAAAGGGUGAUAAAAGACUGUCUGCCCUUUGAUCCAGCCAUAGCACUGCUGGGCUUGUACCCCAAAGAGAUAAUAAGGAAAAAGACUUGUACAAGAAUAUUCAUAGCUGCGCUCUUUGUGGUGGCCAAAAAUUGGAAAAUGAGGGGAUGCCCUUCAAUUGGGGAAUGGCUGAACAAAUUGUGGUAUCUGUUGGGGAUUGAAUACUAUUGUGCUCAAAGGAACAAUGAACUGGAGGAAUUCCAUGUGAACUGGAACAAAAUCCAGGAAUUGAUGCAGAGUGAGAGGAGCAGAACCAGGAGAACAUUAUACACAGAGACUGAUACACUGUGGUACCAUUGAAUGUAAUGGACUUCUCCAUUAGUGGCAAUGCAGUGAUCCUGAACAACCCAGAGGGAUCUAUGAGAAAGAACACUAUCCACACCCAGAGGAAAAACUGCUUGAUUACAUGGGUUGAGGGGAUAUGAUUGGGGAUGUAGACUCUAAAUGAAUAUCCUAAUGCAAACACCAAUAACAUGGAAAUGGGUUCUGAUCAAGGACACAUGUAAUACCCAGUGGAAUUGCGUUAUGGGAGGGGUGGGAGGAAUAGAAAAUGAUUUUUGUAACCAAGGAAUAAUGUUUGAAAUUUACCAAAUUAAAAAAAAUGAUUCCCCUGGAAGCUGAGAUUUCCCCCAGAUUCUCUCCCAGUUGGGUCAGCUCUGUUACUAUUUGCAUGCCUCUGUAUAUUGUUAAAACAACAAAUGUUAGGUUGAAUUUAGCCACUUUUAACCCAGCAGACUCAAACCUAAGAUGUUGGUGGCACUUUAGUCCUUUUCUUCUACCUACUCUAAGAGAGAAAAUGACACAUUGAUUGGUAAACUUCUCUUCAUUUUAUUUAUUAAACAAAACAAAACAACUCUCACCAUCUAUCUUAGAAUCAAUAUUGGGUAUUAGAUCCAAGGCAGAAGAGCAGUAAGGGUUAAGCAACUAGGGUUAACUUGCCCAGGGACAUACAUAUAGGAAGUGUCCAAGGUCAUUUUGAACCUAGGAUCUUCCAUUUCCAGGCCUGCUUCUCUAUUCACUGAGCCACCCAGCUACCCCUUCCCUUCAUUUUACAUCCUUUCUUCCCAUGCUCUUUCCAUCUUUUGGCACUCACAGAAACCCUACUUCCUGUAGAUGAAGUUACAUCCCCAGUCAUCCACUAUUGCUUGUCUCUUCUUUCAGACUCCAACUCAUUCACUCUAGAGGGGAAGCUGGACCCCUCCUUGCUCCCUGUUGCCAUUCCCUUGGCUGCCAUCAUGGAACAACCUCUCCUUUAGAUUUAUUCUAUUCUAAUUGAUCACCCAGUUCAGAUCCUGGUGGUGAUUAUCUAACAGAUCCCAAGUAAAUAGCUCUCUCUUUUCUGAAGGAUUUAAUGCCUGGUUCAGUUUCCUCUCUUCCUCAAUACUUGCACUUAUUAUCACACACACACACACACACACACACACACACACACACGAAUAUAUAUGUAGAUAACUGUGUAUGCAUGCUCAUGCCCCUUCACAUGCCCUAAACUCAGAUUCCUGAGAUCCUCAAGUUCAACUCCCAUCCUCUAUCCUCCAUUCCACUUUAGCUCUACAUGGAAUUUAGCUGAUCUUGCUGUCAUCCACAAUUGUUCCAUUCCCAGGAUCAAGAACUCUGCUAUUUCUUCAUCUGAUCCUAACCUCCUUAUUAUUCUAUUUCUGUUUGCUUCUUAUUCCUAAGUCUAUACUAUUUGUUCUUCUCUAUCUCCUACUCUGGAAUCCUUUGUUCUCCUCGUCCUAUGCCUGGAUUAAUUAUUCCCAUCAUCUGCCCUACUUCUUCUGCUCUUACACUCUUCUAAAGGGAGCUGAAGAAAGUCAUCUCCGGGGCUCCCUACCAAUUUGGACCCUUGUUGCAACAAUGCAUUUUUUGCACCCCCACCUUAAUUGAUUUUCUCUCCUGCUUCCUGUAGCAGCUGUUUCAGGCCAUCUCUUCUUUUCUCAAAACUUUCAAACCUUUUACCACCCUCAUAGUUGAGAACUUUGAUGUAUUUUACAGAGAAAAUAACCAUCUGCCGUGUGCCCCUUUUCCUUUUCUCUACAUUUCACAGCCCUUUACAUUAUCCUCAAUUUUCUCCUUUAAUCUAGUAAACCAAGGGGAUCAGUCUCACUGAUGUUAACCCUUUUACAUGUAUUUGUGAUCUUAUCCCUUCUUAUCUUUUACAACAGAAAUGCCCCCACGAUUAUCGAUUAUCUUCCAUUUCUUUGCUAUCUUUGCUUCUUUCCUAUUUACUGUUUCCUCCUAUCUACCUCUUUUCAGUGACCUUUGCAGGAUCUUUAUCUAUGUUACACACACAAGGUUCAGUCCUAGGCCCUCUUCUCUCCUCCCACUACACUAUUUUAUCAGGUGAUCUCAUUCAUGUUAAUUUAAUGACCUCCAUGCUGAUAACUCUCAAUCUACCUAUCCUCUCUCCGUCUUUCUGCUGACCUACAUUCUCUCAAUUCCAGUGAUCUUUCUGAUAUCUUGACAUCUCAAACUCAACAUGUUCAAAACCAAAAUGCUGCCACUACUCUAGUGGAGACCUUCAUCACUUCACCACCAGCUGCAAGGCGAGGAGCCACGGCAGCCCAUCUCAGUAAAGUGACAUUACCACUGCAAUAACCCUAUCCUUGAAGUUAAGAGCUGGGUUUUAUCUCGAGCUCCCCAGUCAUGCUUGGAUGAUAGCAAGAGCCUAUUUUGGGGGAUGUGGUCUUCUUGCCUCAUCUCUCCCCAAUCCAAUUCAUGCUCUGUUCUGCCACAAAAGUGAUUUUCCAACCAUGUUGUCCCUGUUAAUGAAUUUCAGUGGCUCCCAAUUUCCUCCAGAAUCAAAUACAAAAUCCUCUGCUUGUUCCACACUGACUGCCUGGUUGUUCUAGGAGCAAGAUAUUCUUAUCUCUUGGCUCUCACAUUUUCUCUGGCUGUCUUGGAAGAUGGAAUGCUCUUCCUCCUUUCCUCCUGCUACUGGCAUCCUUUAUAUUCACUUAAAAUUCCAUCUCCUACAGAAAGUUUUCCCCAACUUUUCAAAUCUAAUGUCUUCUGUCUCUAUUUUUUUCUACUUGUUCAUAUGUGUUUGCUUGGUGUCUCCCUCCUUAGAUUGGAAGUUUCUUGAGGGCUGGGAAUGCCUUUUGUCAUUUUAGAAUCGCCAUUGUUUAGCACAGUACCUGGCACAUAGUAAAGGCUUAAUAAAUAUAAAAUUCAUUUAUUUGAAAACCCUUAC